rnacentral:rRNA from 1 species
UACGUAGGGGGCGAGCGUUGUCCGGAAUUACUGGGCGUAAAGGGCGUGUAGGCGGUCGGCUAAGUCAGGUGUGAAAGACCGGGGCUCAACUCCGGGGAUGCACUUGAAACUGGUCGACUUGAGGGCAAGAGAGGGAAGCGGAAUUCCCAGUGUAGCGGUGAAAUGCGUAGAUAUUGGGAGGAACACCAGUGGCGAAGGCGGCUUCCUGGCUUGGCCCUGACGCUGAGGCGCGAAAGCGUGGGGAGCAAAC